rnacentral:lncRNA from 11 species
UCCUUGCCUAGUUUAUCCAUGCCUCACAACUUCUGAGGAUGCCUGCCAUAGAUGUGGGCGAAACGUCAGGAGAGAAUUCUUCUGGAACAUGGCCACACAGCCCGAAAGACAACCCGGCAGGCUGUUAGGAAUUGACGUCCAGAACACCUGGAGGGCCGAAGUUUGCCCAUGCCUGUUUUAGAAACACUUCAGAAACGAAAUCCCUCAGUUCUGUAAUGACUUUUGAACCACUUUUUAAAUGGACUGCACAUCCCUGCUGCCUACAGAGGGACUCCGUUUGAGGCCGGGAUGGGACGGGCACCCACCACCAAGCCCUGUUGCGCGUCAAGGGCGUUCUUUGGUGCGCUUCCUGCGGGAGAGAGAGCGAAGCUGGCUUGGAAGCGCAUGAAGUGAAGACGGGUGGGUGCCAGGGGUGCUGCUGCCCUCGCUGGCGGAGACUCCAGGUCUUCCCUCUCCUUUUGGAGGCAACCCCAGCGUCGGGGUGCCUUGCUUCUUCCUGAGCGGCGUCGCCUCCUUUGCUGGGGAGGGAAGACGCGCCUGCUGGCACUUCGGGGAGAGAGGAAGAGGAAGCGCGUCCUCCUCGGCGCGGCAAGAGCCCCUCCGCCUGCCUGACCCCCUCUCUCUCUCUCCCUCUCUCCCCGCCCAGCUCCCGAGCGGUGGUUGCGCGCAAGCUGCCUGGCUGGCUGGCUGGCACCUCUGCUCUCGCGUCGCCCUCCUUCCCGUGGCUCUCAGGGGCCCCUGGGCACCGCCUCCCGCCGGGCUGAAGUUUGCACGCCAACAAAGCGCCGGGCAGCCAUGGAGACCGUCAACCAGCUGGCCACCAAAGGCAGGUUCCAGGCGGUGAAGGAGCCCUUGGGGUUCCUGCGGGUCCUGGAAUGGGUAAGUCGGGCGGGCGAAGGAGAAGCAGGUGCCUUGGUCGGGGAAGGAUGUCUUGCCGGCACCCCAGGUUG